rnacentral:rRNA from 1 species
ACUCCGUACGGGAGGCAGCAGGUAGGGAAUCUUCCACAAUGGGACGCAAGCCUGAUGGAGCAACACCGCGUGAGUGAAGAAGGGUUUCGGCUCGUAAAAGCUCUGUUGUUAAGGAAGAACACGUAUGAGAGUAACUGUUCAUACGUUGACGGUAUUUAACCAGAAAGUCACGGCUAACUACGUGCCAGCAGCCGCGGUAAUACGUAGGUGGCAAGCGUUAUCCGGAUUUAUUGGGCGUAAAGAGAGUGCAGGCGGUUUUCUAAGUCUGAUGUGAAAGCCUUCGGCUUAACCGGAGAAGUGCAUCGGAAACUGGAUAACUUGAGUGCAGAAGAGGGUAGUGGAACUCCAUGUGUAGCGGUGGAAUGCGUAGAUAUAUGGAAGAACACCAGUGGCGAAGGCGGCGUACCUGGUCUGCAACUGACGCUGAGAC